rnacentral:rRNA from 1 species
GUGUCAGCCGCCGCGGUAAUACGGAGGAUGCAAGCGUUAUCCGGAUUUAUUGGGUUUAAAGGGUGCGCAGGUGGUUUUAUAAGUCAGUGGUGAAAGUCUGUCGCUUAACGUCAGGAUUGCCAUUGAUACUGUAGGACUUGAGUAUGGAUGAGGUAGGCGGAAUGUGUAGUGUAGCGGUGAAAUGCAUAGAUAUUACACAGAACGCCGAUUGCGAAGGCAGCUUACUAAUCCGCUACUGACACUGAGGCACGAAAGCGUGGGGAUCAAACAGGAUUAGAUACCCCAGUAGUCC